rnacentral:rRNA from 1 species
UAGGGAAUCUUCGGCAAUGGACGAAAGUCUGACGGAGCAACGCCGCGUGAGUGAAGAAGGUUUUCGGAUCGUAAAACUCUGUUGGUAGAGAAGAACGUUGGUGAGAGUGGAAAGCUCAUCAAGUGACGGUAACUACCCAGAAAGGGACGGCUAACUACGUGUCAG